AACACGCAGCUUAGGCUUUUUUUUCUUCCCCAGCGACGCGCGAGCGGAAGAUGUCUAGGCGCGCGCUGUUGCCAUGGUAAUUCGUACCCGCCUCUACGCUUGUGAGCUCGUUUAUGGCCUCUUUCUCCAGGAAACUGAGGCCUGCAGACGUUAAAUAAUAAGAAGUAAAAAGCCGGGUAUGUUGAACUUCAGAGCAUAUGAACUGCCUCCCCACUGUUCGCUGGAUUGUUCUUAGAGUGGAAUAUGACCGUUCAUAUUUGUGGUACAAGAAGUGCUAAAGGAAGUCUUUCAACAAGAAAAUGAUACCAGAUAAAAUUGUGCAUCUACACAAAGAAAUAAAGGCACGGGAAAUGCCAAUUGCAUAGAUUCUACUUUGUAGAACUUUUAAAAAAGGUCUUGGAGAAGCUCAAGAGUUUCAGAAAGAAUUCCAAGUGGCUUACAAGAAAUGUUACAAUGAGAUAAAUAAAAUACAAACAUGAAUGGAAAAGAGAGAGGAAAAGAAGAUGAAGUACAAGGAAAAGAAGCUGUAAUGCACGUAGAAUAAUCUACAUAUAAAUUUAAGGUUCAGAUUUGAAGAGUCUCUUUGAAAGUGGGAGAGGACAGAUCUUACACAGACUUUUCAGCUAUGGGAGAAUUAUUUGAAACGCUAACCCUCCUCCCCAAAAUAAAACUCUUGUCAUUUUUUCUCCCA